CGGGGUUUGGCGCAGUUGGCUAGCGCGCUCGCUUUGGGAGCGAGAGGUCACAGGUUCGAGCCCUGUAACCCCGACCA
rnacentral:tRNA from 1 species